GAGUUUGAUCAUGGCUCAGAACGAACGCUGGCGGCAGGCUUAACACAUGCAAGUCGAACGCCCCGCAAGGGGAGGUGGCAGACGGGUGAGUAACACGUGGGAACGUGCCCUAAGGUUUGGAAUAUUCCCGGGAAACUGGGAGCAAUACCAAAUGUGUCCGUAAGGAGAAAGAUUUAUCGCCUUAGGAUCGGCCCGCGUCAGAUUAGGUAGUUGGUGGGGUAAUGGCCUACCAAGCCGACGAUCUGUAGCUGGUCUGAGAGGACGACCAGCCACACUGGGACUGAGACACGGCCCAGACUCCUACGGGAGGCAGCAGUGGGGAAUCUUGGACAAUGGGCGAAAGCCUGAUCCAGCCAUGCCGCGUGGAUGAUGAAGGCCCUAGGGUUGUAAAAUCCUUUCGUUGGGGACGAUAAUGACGGUACCCAAGAAGAAGCUCCGGCUAACUUCGUGCCAGCCGCCGCGGU
rnacentral:rRNA from 1 species